rfam:Triticum aestivum genome assembly, contig: Triticum_aestivum_CS42_TGACv1_scaffold_487269_6AS
AAUCUACCCGCUCUGUCCUGAAUUACUUGUCGCAAAAAUAGAUAAAAUUAAAUGUAUUUAGAACUAAAAUACGUCUAGAUAUAUCCAUUUCCACGACAAGUAAUUCUGGACGGAGCAGUAUAUU